GAUGAACGCUGGCGGCGUGCCUAAUACAUGCAAGUCGAGCGAACAGACGAGGAGCUUGCUCCUCUGACGUUAGCGGCGGACGGGUGAGUAACACGUGGAUAACCUACCUACAAGACUGGGAUAACUUCGGGAAACCGGAGCUAAUACCGGAUAAUAUAUUGAACCGCAUGGUUCAAUAGUGAAAGACGGUUUUGCUGUCACUUAUAGAUGGAUCCGCGCCGCAUUAGCUAGUUGGUAAGGUAACGGCUUACCAAGGCAACGAUGCGUAGCCGACCUGAGAGGGUGAUCGGCCACACUGGAACUGAGACACGGUCCAGACUCCUACGGGAGGCAGCAGUAGGGAAUCUUCCGCAAUGGGCGAAAGCCUGACGGAGCAACGCCGCGUGAGUGAUGAAGGUCUUCGGAUCGUAAAACUCUGUUAUUAGGGAAGAACAAAUGUGUAAGUAACUAUGCACGUCUUGACGGUACCUAAUCAGAAAGCCACGGCUAACUACGU
rnacentral:rRNA from 1 species